AGUGAACGCUGGCGGUAGGCCUAACACAUGCAAGUCGAACGGCAGCACAGUAAGAGUUUGCCCUUACGGGUGGCGAGUGGCGGACGGGUGAGGAAUACAUCGGAAUCUACUUUUUCGUGGGGGAUAACGUAGGGAAACUUACGCUAAUACCGCAUACGUCCUACGGGUGAAAGCAGUGGAUCUUCGCACUUUGCGUGAUUGAAUUAGCUGAUGUCGGAUUAGUUAGUUGGCGGGGUAAGGUCCCACCAAGGCGACGAUCCGUUGCUGGUCCGAGAGGAGGAUCAGCCACACGGGAACUGAGACCCGGUCCAGACUCCUACGGAGGGAAGCAGUGGGGAAUAUUGGACAAUGGGCGAAAGCCUGAUCCAGCCAGACCGCGUGGGUGAAGAAGGCCUUCGGGUUGUAAAGCCCUUUUGUUGGGAAAGAAAAGCAGCAGGUUAAUACCCCGCUGUUCUGACGGAACCCAAAGAAUAAGCACCGGCUAACUUCGU
rnacentral:rRNA from 1 species